rnacentral:rRNA from 1 species
UAAGGAGGAUGCGAGCGUUAUCCGGAUUUACUGGGUGUAAAGGGAGCGUAGACGGUGAUGCAAGUCAGAAGUGAAAGCCCGGGGCUCAACUCCGGGACUGCUUUUGAAACUGUGUGACUGGAGUGCAGGAGAGGUAAGCGGAAUUCCUGGUGUAGCGGUGAAAUGCAUAGAUAUCACGCAGAACUCCGAUUGCGAAGGCAGCAUACCGGCGCCCUACUGACGCUGAGGCACGAAAGCGUGGGUAUCGAACAGG